UGAGCCCUGCUUACAAACCCCCUUUGGAAGGACGAGUCCUUGAACCGAGCUGCCCCAGCACAGGCUCAGACAGCUCUGGUAUGACCCAUUCCCAGCAGGAUGCUGGCAGACAGUGACUGCUUCCAUGGCUCUGGCCACCACUCCUGCUUUCCCAGCUGCUCAGCUACCUUGCAAAGAGCUAAAAAUAUAUGUCUGUGUGAGCAGUCACUGUAGCUACAGCAGGGGUGAGCCAGAGAGGGUGGCCAGGCUGGGUCACCAUGGUGGGGGGACACGUUGACUUUGCAAAGUGGGCAACACAGUGGGGACAGGCAGGGACAGGAUGGGACAAGACAGAAUGGGACAGUCUGCUGCUGGUACCUCCAGUGCAGAUCCCACCAUCUCCCCACUUUUGUCGAAGCUGCAGCACUACACAGCUGGUGGGGUUCACUUUGCUGCUUGUGUUUCAGCAGGGCAUGAGUGAGGAGCAGCUCCCUGCAUCUCCCCACUGCCCCACACGGGAGGACACCAAUGUCUCGGCCUCUGCGUACCCCCAGUACUGGGUGGAGCCCCGGUUCACCCAGGCAGCGAAGGUCCGUGUGAUCAUCACAGCCAUCUUCUUCCUGCUGGCGGCGGGCAGCAAUGCAGCCGUGCUGGGCAGCCUGCUGAGGAAGAGGAGGAAAUCCCACGUGCAGCCGCUAAUCCUCAGCCUGGCGCUGGCCGACCUGCUGGUGACAGUGAUGGUGAUGCCCCUCGAUGCGGCGUGGAACGUGACAGUGCAGUGGUAUGGAGGGGACAUCUCCUGCAAGAUCCUCAACUUCCUCAAGCUCUUUGCUAUGUACGCAGCUGCCCUGGUGCUGGUGGUCAUCAGCCUGGACCGGCACGCAGCCAUCCUCCAUCCCUUCUCCCGUGCUCACCGCCGCAACGGGAUGCUGCUCCGUGCUGCCUGGGCUGGCAGCGUGCUCCUGGCUUUGCCCCAGCUUUUCCUCUUCCACCUGAACACAAUCCCAGGAAGGAAUUUCACCCAGUGUGUUACUCAUGGGAGCUUCCGAGCACACUGGGAGGAAACUGUCUACAACAUGUUCACCUUCACCACCCUCUACAUCACCCCCCUGAGUGUCAUGAUCGUCUGCUACAUCCGCAUCCUUUGGGAAAUCAGUAAGCAGCUAAAGGUCAAUAAAGGUUUGACAAGAAAUCAAAAUGACCACAUCUCCAAGGCACGCAUGAAGACUCUCAAGAUGACCAUAGUGAUUGUUGCUACAUUCAUCAUCUGCUGGACCCCUUACUAUCUCCUGGGCUUGUGGUACUGGUUCCAGCCAGCCAUGAUCCAGAAGAUGCCAGAGUAUGUCAACCACAGCUUCUUCCUCUUUGGCCUGCUGCACACCUGCACUGACCCUAUCAUUUAUGGACUGUACACCCCUUCCUUUCGGGAGGACGUGCAGCUGUGUCUCAGGGGCAUUGAAACAGCCAUCACCAGGCAAAAGAGACACAAACCCAUCUCAGCCUCAGAGAAGAGCACCAAGGAUGGUGCUGCAAAUGGUGGGGUGGCAUCAGGGGGCUCCAAUGGGACAACUGUCAGCACGGUCUGAUGAAGAGAUGUACCCACGAGGGGAUGGCAGGCACAGCUUUGGAACUGUUUUGUCCUGUAGGACCAUUUUGGAGACUGUCAUGAUGAGGUUCCCUACUCAGCUUUGGUGGGUGAGGGUUUCUGGCCAGAAAUUGAGAAUCUGCCUCCUGCCUGUACUCAGGGUGAAAAAUAUUUGGGGGCAUUUCUGGUCAUUCUGCUGUAUUCUGGCAGCACCGUGACAACUACAAAAACAUCCUUUUUGUACCUGACACAUGCUCCAGCCCUGAUUCUGGCAUCAAGAUUCUCCACACUUCCAGCAUCAACCUCUGGGAGGAAAUUUACCAUCUCCUCUGUGGUCCAGGGUCCUGUCUCUGGAGUGGCUGGUCUUCAAGUGCCCUUUGCACCUACACCCAGCUGUAGAGCUGCAUGGAUGGUGUCACCCUGAGCCUGCAAAGGUGUGGUUGCAGGCUUUUACUCCGUUUUCUCCACACAUUGUAGGAAAAACUCUCUGGAAAUUUCAGAUCUCCUGACUCAGAACUUGCUUGGUUCUCCCAUGGCUCUGUGACAAGCCUCUAAAUAGCUGGAGGCUGACUAAUGCAGGAGCUUUCAUGUCCCAGGCAUGGUAGGUAGGGAGGGAGUGCUGUGGGGAUGGAGGGACUCAGGAAAGAGUGGUACAAAGAACCACAGUGGGGUGAGGUUUCUUCUCUCUUUUGAAGAGAGACAGAAGGGAAAACAGUCCCUGCUACUGUUUUCUGCUGUGAAGGGGAUGGUACAGACAGACACAGCAGCUCUGUGGGACACGGGGCAAUCCAGGAGAGAGAGUAUUUGUGGUAAUGAGAACCAGACCUGACACUGCCCAGCCCCCUAGACCUUUCUGUCCCCACGUCCCAGAGCACAAGCUGGCAGGGUGCAGGCCACAUGCUGGACACAUUUGCUUUGCCAUGAGCAACACCAGCCCCUCAUCUCUGCCCCAGCAGAGCAGGUGCAGCCACCCCACAGGUGUUGUUUGAGGUGUCCCAAUGAUGGAAGUGAUGGGAUGAAGCUGAUAGGGAUCCAUCAGCACCUUUAGUGCCAGAUGGAGGUAAACGAGGGCAAGGAGGACUUCUGGAGGGAUCAGCUGAGCUGUGGUGAGUAAUAGGGGUUGUUUGCUUUCUAUUAUCAUGCCAAAAGUUGCUUGUGAAGGCAGAAGUUUCUUCUCUGGGUGUGGAUUGAAGAGAUGCCUUUAUUCAACUGUGUUGUCCUUUCCAGGUAAUUAGAAAUAGUGGAUUACUUAUUUUUUUCAUUCUCUGAUGAUUGUUAUUAAAUGUGGAGUUUGCUUUUGAAGAGAAAUUCAGUUUUAAGUCAGGUGGGUUGUUGUUUUCUUAGUUUAACUAAACCUUUGGACAGCUCAGGAGCUCUGGACUUGGCAGGAGGCAGUUUCUUGGCUAUUUUUGUGGCCACUGCAGCUUUGAAUGAGCAUCUGGACUUUAUCAGGAUGAAAGAGCUUUGUUUUAAAAACAACCCUUGUCUUACUGUGGUUGCAUGUGUAGGGAGCUGGGAGAUGUCUUCCCCUCUAGAAAACAAAUCUCCUUUGGGCACUGAGGGGGCUUUUUCUCAACCCUGUUUCCAAGAGGUGUUGGCUCCCUAUCAGCCAGAAAGGAUCUGCAUUGGUCUCCCAGUUCACCAGCUAACAAAUUAUUGAAAUGAGAGGGGUGGCAAGCAGUCCUUGCAGGCUGGCUGAGGCUGGGCAAUGAGGACAUGGGAAGCUGCAGUGCUCAGAGUGAUGCUGAGCUGCACAAGGGUAUUCAGCCGUUGCCCUUCUGGUACUAAUUAUUAUUUAUGCUAAACAUGUAGCCCAAGGAGAAAAAAAAAAUCAAUUAGAACUGCAGGAGCCCAGACCAACUGGUGGGGACUAGCGUGAGCCAUUUAGGAAGCAUCCAAGCUCCAAUGAGAUGCGUAAUCGCAGUUUGGCUUUCCUGGGCUCAUUCUGCUCAAAGUUAAUUACCCAAUGCUAACAGAGCAGGGGGUGCCUGAUGCCAGACUGGCAAAAAAAGGGCUUCUUGUAAGGUGAUGGGAAUGGCUUGCAGUAGGGGAAGCUAAUUUAUUCAUCAGACACUCCUUUGGUCUCUUUGUUUGUACUGCUGAUGGGAGGCAGACCUUGAAGGUGCGUUGGUUUUCUGGCAAGCCUUGAAUAAGUAGGAAAGCGUCUUUAAUCUACUGAAAAUUGUCUUCAUCCACUUUUUGCUGAGUGGGAGAGAACAGAUACAACAUUGCUCAUACACGUCUCCUCUUGCCCAGCAACAGGAGAGCUCAGAGGUCUUCUCUGUGGAGAAAGAAAUACUUUUUUUUCCUUGUGGGAAGGAUUUUACACCCCAUGGGUACAGUGAAAAGGCAAAAGUGGGUUUGGCUUUAGGGGGACUCGGCGAUCUUACAAUAAUUUAGGUUGGAAAAGAUCUCUAUGAAGAGUAGGAAAAUGGGGAUUAUUGCAAGCAUUUGUACUUUAGUCCUUAGGGGAAGCAUGGCACGCUCCUUGGGAUUCUUGCAGGCACUCUGCUGUUGUUCCUUUUGCCUAUCUCUUUCAUACCUUCCCUCCUCUUGCUGAUGUUCAAAGUGACAUCUUGUGGAGUCUGGAGUGUGGGCAAGGUGCCCAAAGUGACAGCUUUUAUGAGAGAAGGAAAAUGUCACUCGUGUGCUGCUAAGCCAUGUGACCACUGCAUGCAGGAAGAGGAGCAAGCAGGUGGGCAGCACCUCCCUGGGGAAGCUGGGAUCACUCAGGGUCCUGCCAGAGGUGGACCAAAGCCCAGGCCUGGUUUGAAUAUUCCUGCAUUUCUGAUUCUGCUUUUCUUGUAUUUGCUCACACUUUAGAAAGCACAAGAUUUUUGCAUCACUUAUUAGGAGCAUGAAUCCCCAAGUCUCACUUUCCCCCCCAACCCAGGGGUGGUCCUGCUUUCUGUGAUGCUUCCUUCUCUCUUCCCCCACAAACCUUUUGUCUCCAACAGCACCUGCCCUUCUCCUCAGCUGGCUCCUGAGAUAUCUGUAUAUAAAUAUAUAUAAAAUAGAGAGAGAAAAAAAUACUUUUUAUAUUUAUUAUCUAUUUAUGCUUGUUGGAGGAAAAUUCUCCCGCUUCCUCACAACCUGCUCAUUCCCACCAAGGAAACACCAGUUACCACACUUCUUGCAGUCCCAGCCAGGAUCAGAUUUGUCUGAUUCGGUAACAAUUCCUUAAUAUUCACCACAGUAAUGUAAUGAACAUAUUAAUAAGAGCAGGUAGCUCUGUAUUUUACAAGUCCUCGACCUCACCCUGGGCCGCCUGCUUCAAACACAGCGGCCCUUUGUUCAGGAGAAAAUUCUGAUUCAUUCCCUGUUAGUGUUUUUAUAGCACUGUGCAUGUUCAAAGAGCCACGCAAGUGGCUUAAGAGGCUAACACAAACCUUGGGUUAAUUCAUAAUACUGUUAGUUACUCAGCACAAUACCCACAUUAAUCCAGCUGACUGCCCCUUGCCACGUUGGGAAACACAUGCUGAAAUCAGCAGGGAGCUCCGAAAACAAGCGUGGGAGUAGGAUAUUAAGUAUUUUGCCAGGCUGCUAGGUAGGAUCUGAGCACCUUAAAUGUAUUUAAAAUAUUUUCCCAUUGCUGUUGCCUCGCUCCACAGCUGUGGAGCUGAAGCAAUGAGGAGGCUGUGCCCAGAAUCCCUGCAGGCCUGAGCAUGAGGGAUGGGGCUGCAAGCUCUUCAAGGGAUAUUCCAGACACAUCCAUCAGAACUCAGCCCCCACCUGAAACCACCUCCUUUUUUUGGGGUUUAUUCAAACUGAUCAAAGCAGAAAAAGCUGGGUUUUUUUUUUCCUUUGAUACCUGCUGAUUUCAUUGCAGAGCUGGACUGUGCAUGUCUGCCAUGAGCCCCUACAAUGCUUUCUCUCUGGGGACAUAGCCUGGAACUAUUAUUACUUCUGCUUACUCUCAGAAACCUUCCUAUGCAAAGAAACCCUAAGAAAAGAGCUUUAAAUCCCUGCUGCGUCCUUUUCAUCUGGCUCAGGAGCUCCCAGGUUUGUGCCUUUCCCUGCAGUGCAGCAGACAGCCAUCCCACAACUGCUGCUCAACCUCCUCCUUUUCCAAAGGGCCCCAAACAGCCCAUCUGUUCCAAAAGGUUUUUGUUUUUUUUUUUUCAAACAAACCAGGCUUUUACAAAGUCUAAAGUACCCUUUAGACAGCAUCAAAUACCUCCAGGUUUUCUGGAAGGCACAUUAUCUCCCCUAAACUUGUAUAGUUACAUGGCACAACAUUUAAUAUAACUUGCUGAGGAAAACAAAAAUAAGCCAACAUUCCCAUGACCCCUGUGCACAUCCCAAACCCCAAGUUUCUGCACUGAAAUAUCAAGGAGUAAAGUAGUCAAAACUGUUGCACAAUAAAUUAUUUAUGUAUAUUUUAAUUAGAAAUCUCUGCUAUAAUUAGCACAGACACUUCUUGGGCUGAGGCGCUGCAGUGUCCUUUGACAGUGAGCAUUAUUAACAGGCUGUAAAAGGCAAUGGGGAAUUGGAUUAUAAUGUUCUUGUUUUGCAAGCUGUAUGGUGAAUAAAUAAAUUUGUUCUGGCAGCAAAAUGAACUGGGAUAAAUGUGUCUAGCUCCAGUCACUAAGAAGAGGGGUUGCUGCAAAUGAACUUGUUCUCAGCCUUGAAUUAAAAAACCUGAUUACCAGGACAUUAUUUCUGGCAAUUAGGUACCAGAACACAUCAGAAAAAUAAGAGAUUUUCUUUGAAAUAUUUAAUGAGUAAGCUAGUAAUCACAGACUCAUUUGCUGGAAAUAUGUGAUGAGUUGGGGUUUUUUUGUGGUUAGGGUUCACUGUGCAAUGAAAAUCUGCAUUUAUGAAAUCUACUAAAGGCUGGAGUGAGAGACUGAACUGUGGCACCUCUCUGGCUUUUCUUCACCUAGAUUCUCUGGGUCUUCAUGGGGUUACUCCAUGCCCAGUCACUAAUCAGAGGACAGUGCUUUGCUCCUUUUUCUGUUUCAGGCAGUUGUAGGUUGCUUUGCAAACACAAAUUACUUGACAGGAGGGAGAGAGGACAGAGCAUUGCCCUGUGUAUGUUGCAUUGCUGGACAUGGUGUAUUCUCCAACAAAUCCCCGGUUUGUGUUCUUUCCUUUCAGACUGGCAGUUCUGCUCCUGAAGGUAAAUUACGAAAGGCCUUUCUGACCCAUGCUGGGCCUGGUCCAUGCACUGUUUUUGUCCUGGCACAACUUCCUUGGGGUGGGGCUGCUGCCCUCUCCCAUCCCUCAAAUUAGCUGCUUGGCAGAGCACUUGGUGUGGACAGAUUCAUGCUUUCCCGGAUUUGGAGUUAGUUUGCCAGCAAAACUAUUUUACAUCAACAUGACUGCAUUGCUGUUAAAAGGCAUUUCAUCGAUUUAUUGAGACUGUCAUCAUUCAAGUAAUCCAACUCCCCAAACAGGGCAAGGCUUGACUUCAUUUAAAUCCAUGCUUUACUAGAAAAGAGUAAAGAACUUUUUGAUUUGCCACACUGGCUAAAAAUAUUACUCCAGUAAGUCCAUUGUACUCAGUAAACCAUUACUCAUUGAGAAUGUGGGGAAAAAACACAGUCCAUGUUGACUGGAAUGUCAAGCAGGUGCUGUGUCAAAGCUGCUUCACAGCUGACACAAAAAGCCAGGAGUCUCAACUUCCCUUCCACUGAAAUCAGAAGAGGUGCAAAUCCUGUGGGAUGUCUCCCUAAACCAGACGAUUUUAAGAAGGCUCCACUGGCAAGUAAGCACCUGAAACUUUGCUGAUCUAAACACAAGGCCAGGCAGAAAAUCUCCACUAUCCCCCGUCUCUGUAGACAGGCACUUCCCAGCUGCAGGCUGUCAGACAGGCCAGGAUUUUCAGAGGAAUUACCCUUCCUUAUAAAGAAGCAAAGGACAGUCCUAAUUUGUCACACUGGUGAAAAGGGUUUCAUGCCACUUCCAGUCUUUACCCCCAGGCUGCACUAGAAAAUCCAACACAGCCAUCCACAAAGGCCUACACUGAAAUGAACGCAGCAGUACAAGAGCAUCAGCACACUGCAUACCCUGAAAGGAAGCUGGGCCUGUUUUUAAAAUGUGUCCCCAGCUGCAAGUGAG